AAAAGGCGAGAGGCCUCGAUGUUGUUGUUGUAGUCAUCUAGCGGAGUAUAGAUGACGACCACGGACUUUUCUAGACAGUGGAACACUAGCGGGUUCGCAACUUGUAGGUGUUUAUGAAUUAAAUGUUCAUUGGCGUACUCCAUCCCCCUCAUGGUUGCCUUAAGGACAUGUAUGGCUGAGGAAACCCUUUAGCAGUAGUGUCCAUCCCGAUGAUAAUCCUUAGGCUAGGUCCCUUGUGAUAGGUGUUUAGGGACGNAAUACAAAAUUUAAAGUCAAAAUUACCCGACGAAGUCUAAACGGAAGUUGUAGAGAGUAAUUUUAGCUACACAUGCAUAUAAAGAACGUCAAAAACGGAGCUCGUAUGCGAAAGUUAUGAAUUUUAGAAGUUUUUGCCACAAAAUCGGAGAAAUUUCGCAUAGAUAANGUGAUAGGUGUUUAGGGACGUAAAGUGAGGACAACGGGAAUGGGUAAUCAGGGUUAUUGUUGAUUGGUGAACUUAAUAAGUAUAUUAUUAUUGUGGGUUGAAAACCCUAUAUGCUCACCAGGCUCCCAAGCCUGACCCACUCAGUUUUAUGAUUACAGAUAGUGGAUCCCGAGCAUAG
rnacentral:lncRNA from 1 species